rnacentral:snRNA from 1 species
GUGCUCGCUUGCGCAGCGCAUACACUAAAACUCGAACGAUACAGAGAUUAGUAGGCCUCUGUGCAAGGAUGGCACGCCAAUUUGUGAAAUGUUCCAUAUAAAA